AUUGAACGCUGGCGGCAGGCCUAACACAUGCAAGUCGAGCGGAUGAAGGGAGCUUGCUCCUGGAUUCAGCGGCGGACGGGUGAGUAAUGCCUAGGAAUCUGCCUGGUAGUGGGGGAUAACGUCCGGAAACGGGCGCUAAUACCGCAUACGUCCUGAGGGAGCAAGUGGGGGAUCUUCGGACCUCACGCUAUCAGAUGAGCCUAGGCCGGAUUAGCUAGUUGGUGGGGUAAAGGCCUACCAAGGCGACGAUCCGUAACUGGUCUGAGAGGAUGAUCAGUCACACGGGAACUGAGACACGGUCCAGACUCCUACGGGAGGCAGCAGUGGGGAAUAUUGGACAAGGGGCGAAAGCCUGAUCCAGCCAUGCCGCGUGUGUGAAGAAGGUCUUCGGAUUGUAAAGCACUUUAAGUUGGGAGGAAGGGCAGUAAGUUAAUACCUUGCUGUUUUGACGUUACCAACAGAAUAAGCACCGGCUAACUUCGUG
rnacentral:rRNA from 1 species